UUAAGCAAAAAAGAGCGCAGGGUGGAUGCCUUGGCACUAAGAGCCGAAGAAAGACGUGAUAAGCUGCGAAAAGCUGCGGGGAGAUGCAAAUAAUCCUUGAUCCGCAGAUGUCUGAAUGGGGAAACCCGGUACGAAGAACUCGUAUCAUCCAUACGCCAAUCCAUAACGUAUGGAGGGGAACCCGGUGAACUGAAACAUCUAAGUAGCCGGAGGAAGAGAAAGAAACAUCGAUUUUGUUAGUAGCGGCGAGCGAAAGCGAAAGAGGCCAAACCGGAGUGCGUGCACUCCGGGGUUCGGACCGCAUUUAAGAUUCAGUGAUUCUAGCAGAAAGGUUUGGGAAAGCCUGCCGGAGAGGGUGAAAGCCCCGUAAGCGAAAGGAGAGCUGACUGAGCGGAAUCCAGAGUACAUCGAGACACGAGAAACCUUGAUGGAAUGAGCGGGGACCACCCCGUAAGCCUAAAUACUACUUAGUGACCGAUAGCGCAUAGUACUGUGAAGGAAAGGUGAAAAGGACCCCGGGAGGGGAGUGAAAGAGAACCUGAAACCCUGUGUUUACAAGCUGUGGAAGUUCUUUAAAUGAACAACCGCGUACUUUUUGUAGAACGGUCCGGCGAGUUGCGGAUACUGGCAAGGUUAAGCACUUAAGGUGCGGAGCCGAAGGGAUACCAAGUCUUAACAGGGCGUAAAGUCAGUAUACGCAGACCCGAAACCGGGUGAUCUAUCCAUGUCCAGGUUGAAGUUGUCGUAAAAGACAAUGGAGGAUCGAAGCCACAUCCGUUGAAAAGGGUGGGCAUGAGGUGUGGAUAGGGGAGAAAUUCCAAUCGAACCCGGAGAUAGCUGGUUCUCCUCGAAAUAGCUUUAGGGCUAGCCUCGAUUUAGUCUUAUGGAGGUAGAGCACUGAAUUUCCGCGGGGGCGUCAAAGCUUACCAAAGAAUAUCAAACUCCGAAUGCCAUGUAGAUGAUGAUCGGGAGUCAGACUGCACGAGAUAAGUUGGGCAGUCAAAAGGGAAAGAGCCCAGACCACCGGCUAAGGUCCCAAAGUGCGUGUUAAGUGGAAAAGGAUGUGGGAAUUCGAAGACAACUAGGAUGUUGGCUCAGAAGCAGCCAUACAUUCAAAGAGUGCGUAACAGCUCACUAGUCGAGAGUUCCUGCGCCGAAAAUGUCCGGGGCUGAAACACGACACCGAAGCCGUGGACUCGCAAUGCGAGUGGUAGAGGAGCAUUCUUAAAACCGACGAAGCUGUACCGGAAGGAGCAGUGGAGGGAUAAGAAGAGAGAAUGCCGGAAUGAGUAGCGAGAGAAAGGUGGGAAUCCUUUCGGCCGAAUAUCUAAGGUUUCCAGAGUAAAGCUGAUCUGCUCUGGGUAAGUCGGGGCCUAAGCACAGGUCGCAAGACGUAAGCGAUGGAUAACAGGUUUAGAUUCCUGUACCACGCAUUAUCAGAACUGUAGGGACGCAUGUGGAAAGCACGAGCCGGGAAUGGAAAAACCGGUACAAGCGGGGUAGGUGUACAAUAGGCAAAUCCGUUGUAUAAUCCGAAGACGUGAUGUGGAGUGAAAUAAAGUAGCAAAGCGUGUGAGCCAUGUGCCGAGAAAAGCUGCUAUUGUGUAAUGCGUGCCCGUACCGUAAACCGACACAGGUGGAUGAGGAGAGAAUCCUAAGGCCGGCGGAAGAAGCAUUGUUAAGGAAUUCGGCAAAAUGACCCCGUAACUUCGGGAGAAGGGGUGCCUGCGAGAGCAGGCCGCAGAGAAUAGGCUCAAGCAACUGUUUAGCAAAAACACAGGUCUAUGCGAAACCGAAAGGUGAAGUAUAUGGGCUGACGCCUGCCCGGUGCUGGAAGGUUAAGAGGAGAGGUUAGCUUCGGCGAAGCUUUGAAUUUAAGCCCCAGUAAACGGCGGCCGUAACUAUAACGGUCCUAAGGUAGCGAAAUUCCUUGUCGGGUAAGUUCCGACCCGCACGAAAGGCGUAAUGAUUUGAGCACUGUCUCGACAAUGCAUCCGGUGAAAUUGAAGUACCAGUGAAGAUGCUGGUUACCCGCGCCAGGACGGAAAGACCCCAUGGAGCUUUACUCCAGUUUGAUACUGGGAUUCGGUACUGCAUGUACAGGAUAGGUGGGAGACGAAGAAGGAUGGACGCCAGUCUGUCCGGAGUCGCUGUUGGGAUACCACCCCUGUAGUACUGGGUUUCUAACCAGUUGCCAUAAACUGGCAAUGGGACAAUGUCAGGCGGGGAAUUUGACUGGGGCCGGCCC
rnacentral:rRNA from 1 species